CUUCCAGUAGCACCUUAGAGACCAACUAAGUUUAUCAUUGGUAUGAGAUUUCGUGUGCAUGCACACGUCUUCAGAUACACACAUGUGCAUGCACACGAAAGCUCAUACCAAUGACAAACUUAGUUGGUCUCUAAGAUGCUACUGGAAG
rnacentral:miRNA from 1 species